rnacentral:rRNA from 1 species
UACGUAGGGUGCGAGCGUUAAUCGGAAUUACUGGGCGUAAAGCGUGCGCAGGCGGUCUGUUAAGACCGAUGUGAAAUCCCCCGGGCUCAACCUGGGAACUGCAUUUGUGACUGCAUGGCUAGAGUACGGUAGAGGGGGAUGGAAUUCCGGCGUGUAGCAGUGAAAUGCGUAGAUAUGCGGAGGAACACCGAUGGCGAAGGCAAUCCCCUGGACCUGUACUGACGCUCAUGCACGAAAGCGUGGGGAGCAAACAGG